GCUCCACCGGAAAAAGAGGAGUGGCGAACGGGUGAGUAACACGUGGGUAACCUGCCCAUCAGAAGGGGAUAACACUUGGAAACAGGUGCUAAUACCGUAUAACAAUCAAAACCGCAUGGUUUUGAUUUGAAAGGCGCUUUCGGGUGUCGCUGAUGGAUGGACCCGCGGUGCAUUAGCUAGUUGGUGAGGUAACGGCUCACCAAGGCCACGAUGCAUAGCCGACCUGAGAGGGUGAUCGGCCACAUUGGGACUGAGACACGGCCCAAACUCCUACGGGAGGCAGCAGUAGGGAAUCUUCGGCAAUGGACGAAAGUCUGACCGAGCAACGCCGCGUGAGUGAAGAAGGUUUUCGGAUCGUAAAACUCUGUUGUUAGAGAAGAACAAGGAUGAGAGUAACUGUUCAUCCCUUGACGGUAUCUAACCAGAAAGCCACGGCUAACUACGUGCCAGCAGCCGCGGUAAUACGUAGGUGGCAAGCGUUGUCCGGAUUUAUUGGGCGUAAAGCGGGCGCAGUCGGUUUCUGAAGUCUGAUGUGAAGCCCCCGGCUCAACCGGGGAGGGUCAUUGGAAACUGGGAGACUUGAGUGCAGAAGAGGAGAGUGGUAUUCCAUGUGUAGCGGUGAUAUGCGUAGAUAUAUGGAG
rnacentral:rRNA from 1 species